CUAGAUAGCACUUUACUUAACAAAUCUACCAGGAAAUGUGGCGCUUUCCCAAGACUAGUCCCCCUUCCCGUCCUCUUACCUAGAUCUAACUUCUGCUGACCAUUCUCUUGAUAGAUACUUUGGGAGGAGUGUUGGGGCCAACCGCACUUCAGACCCGCCAGCAGUGUGAGUGGGCCAUAUUUCAGUUUCUUCACUAAAUGGGUGUUGGAAGCCGAGCUCACGACGUUAUCAAAGCCAGCCACAAAUGCCACAAGUAAAGAAGCAAACAUCCGGAGCGGCUUCCUGCAAGCCUUGCUUCCCUCAACACUAGAGAUUUACUGGGGUGGGGGUGGGUAUCUGGACUAGAAGCCUGGCACGCCUGUCUGCUGUAGUCCGCAGCGGUAUCACACUCAAACAGUGCAGGAUUUCUAGGUGGCUACUGCCUAAGCCACAUCCCCAAAGCAGACCUGAGGCUCGAAAGGCUGGGGCAAGGAAGCGUCUAAUGUAACUAGAAGCUGUGCCCGUAACCAUUUGGGGCCUGUAGCAAGCGGGUUGGUGAUCAACUGGGACUCCGAAGUGGGAGAGUCUAAGCCACUCUUCUACAGCGAGCCUCAGAGUGAGUGGUUGAUUUCUCGAAGGUUUUAUGGUUUUGGUGUUCUGAUGGCCAAGGCCUGUUAAAGGACAUUCAAGUCCAAUUGCACAGGAUCCGUGGGCACUCAAGCAGAUCCGUGGUCUGUGGAGAGCAAGUUCAUGAGGGCGGAAAAGGGAGCGUGGGCUGUCAUCACGGAGACAGCCCCCGGCGGACUCUAAGAUAACAGAGACAAUAGUACCACUGGACGGUCUAAAAUACGUGCCUCAGAGUCUGCCUCUGAGAACACCGAGCGUCGUGCCCCGGGCUCCGCACCUCCCAGGUAGGGCCACGCAGAGCGAUGCGGUCGAUUGGCACCUUUCACCCGGGCACCAAAAGGCGCAGUCUCUUCUCCCCUUUAUACCUUUCGCGCUCUUUCCAGUCCCUGGUCAGUCCCCAGUGGGUCGGAGGUGGAGAUGGAAAUUCGGGAACUUGAGAGGAAAGAGUGGCAAGAAAGACAGUGAUCACCGGCCCCCACGGUGGCCCAGAACAUUCAGGCCAGACCCUGCAAUCUUCGCUUUGCUAGCCUCUCCCGUGAGAGCUGAGAACGUCUGACCCCAAGAUUAACUUCGGGGGCUCAUUCCGCACACCGUUGGGAGCGUGCAUCCUGGGUGGGCGGGGUCUCACGUAACUGUCCGAAUCUCUGUCUAAUCGUGCCCCGAAACCCCACCCUAGCAGCUGGCGACUCGGAGACCACGUCCUCCUUCCCGCUCGGCCCUAGCUGAGUUUUUCCGCGGCGAAGCAGGAAGUAAACUGCUCCCGCUCCACUUCCCAGCUCAGUAACCGGUCGGGAAUGUUUCUUAGAACCCAUACCCCAUCUGUGUUCCCCAGACGAAGCAAAUUCUAAUUCAUCUGAGCUACAUGAGAAG
rnacentral:lncRNA from 1 species